rnacentral:tRNA from 1 species
UCCUCCUUAGCUCAGUUGGUUAGAGCAUCUGACUGUUAAUCAGAGGGUCCAAAGUUCGAGUCUUUGAGGAGGAGCUA